rnacentral:misc_RNA from 1 species
UGUGGGAGCGGGCUUGCUCGCGAUGCAGACGAUGCGGUCUGUCAGGCAAAAUGCGGUAAGACCAUCGCGAGCAAGCCCGCUCCCACA